GGUUGUGGUUCAGUGGUAGAGCAAUCAGCUGGCACAUGUGAGGCACUGGGUUCGAUCCUCAGCACCA
rnacentral:tRNA from 1 species